rnacentral:lncRNA from 1 species
CGUAUGAGCACAUAAAAGCACGUAAUUGACUCUUAAAUAAUAAUAGGGGUACCUCCCUUUUUGAAGUGAUGACUAAAUGGAGUCGAAUUGCCUUAUUUAUAUUCAAAAUGAACAAAAGAAUCAUGGCACCAAUUUAAUUGAAAAAUAAUAAUAACAAAAAUACUAAAUUCACACUAAUAUGUCGAACGUAAACAAAUUUAAGAACAUCUAAAAAUUACAAGUUAAGUAUAUUCAAAAGUAGCAUAAUUAGCUAUUAAAGAAAAGAAACAAUCAUAAUAAAAAGAGUCAAAAUUCAUCAGGGACUGAAUUACAAAAUUGAAAACUUUUGGGGACAGAAAUUAUAUUUUUUCAAAGUUUAGGGGUCAAAAUUAAAUGAAAGAUAAAAUUCAAGGACCAAAGUGCAAUUAAUUUAAGGGCCUAAGUGAAACAAAUUUAAAAUGUUCUGGGCCAAAGUGAAACUACUCCAAAGAUCAGGGGCUAAAGUGCAAAUUUCGGUUUCUGAUUUGGGAGAAAAAGGCCAUCGGGCCAUCAUUUUAUUUAUUUGGGCCGGAUACUACCUAAGCCCAGCCAAAAAGUACAUGGGCUCUGACCUUCUAACCCAACCGAAACCCAAAGAAAAUAAAAUAAAACCCAUUCCUGAAACCCAACCAAAACUAACUCUUGGCCCAUCAAAAAAAUAAACAUUAGCCCAAAUCUUUUUUUUCUUUUUCCUUCCUUUUUCUUUCUUCUCUUCACCGUCUGUUUCUUCUUCUUCUUGCCUGGCCAGCUGAAGCUUCUUCAGCUAUCGGCCAUGGCAGCUGCUGCCGCCGGACCGCCGCCGCCGGCGAUCGCCGGCAACUUCUUCCGUUACCAAAUUUCACCAAAAUACAUCCCCUCACUCGAUUUUUCGCGUAGAUUCGAUUUUUAAAAUUAGUUUUUACAAAAAAUGACCCGAAAGGGGCCGAAAUGCUAAAAAACAGCCCAAUUUUUUUAUAUUUUUAAACACUCAAAUCUUCACCAAAAAUCAUAAAAUUAUGCCGAAACACUCCUUAUAGCUUCUACAUUACAACUAUAAUAUUAGUUUGACAAAUAAACAACAACAAAAUGAUGCAUUAAGUCAAAACAGCCCCAACAAUGAAGAAAAUUAUUCUAAUGCUUUGAAGGCUCAAAACUCCAAAAUUUUUUAGAUAAUGCAACCUUUUUGGACCUACACUGUCAAAUGGUCAUCUAUUUUGACAAAAACAACAUGCACCAUGCCCAGCUUUUAACUCGUUUUCCAUUUUGGCAUUUUUUCAAACGGUUAAUAUGCAUGCACGAAAAACAUUUCCCUUUCCUCAAUCUAGUUCAUGCCAUUUCCCAAUUUUUAACAAUACAACAACAACAAUGCAAGGCAGCCAGCAGAAACGAAAGAAAACUAAACAAUGAAGCAUUUGAUUUAACGUGCUGGACAAAACUAAAAAUUACCUCAAUGUAGGUGUGUGUGAGGUUGAGAUGGAACCGAGAGGAGUUGGGGAAGAUUUUUUUUCUUCUUCUCUGUUUCUUUCCUCUGCCCAAGUUCGAGAGAGGGAGAGAGUGAGGGGUCAGGUUGCAAAAUUCCGAGAGCUUCACUUCCUCUUCUCUCGUGCGUUUCUCUAUUUUUUUUUUUUCUGCCUCUGCCAAGUGAGCCUGGAGAGAUUGGAGUGUUUUUUUUUUUUUUUUUUUUUUGUGGCUUGUCUUCUUAGCUUCUUGUCUUCUGUCUGUGAGAGCUGAGAGAGGAGAUUGAGGAAGUAAAGGUGGGGAGUUUGUGUGUUUGUUUGGUCAAAAUCAUUAUUUUUUUACCCAAUGACAAGAAAGAUCAAGAAAGUUGAGCGUAGGAAUGGGUUAAGUGUUUUUUUUUGUAGGGAAAAUAAUGAAAAUGUGUAAGUUUUGUAAUAAUGUGAUUUUGAUUUGAUUUUUGAUUUUUUUU